GACGAACGCUGGCGGCAUGCCUAACACAUGCAAGUCGAACGGAGCAGUUCCUUCGGGGGCUGCUUAGUGGCGGACGGGCGAGUAACGCGUGAGCAACCUGCCUUUCAGGGGGGAUAACGACCGGAAACAGUCGCUAAUACCGCAUAACAUAAUCUGAUCGCAUGAUCGGGUUAUCAAAGGAGCAAUCCGCUGAGAGAUGGGCUCGCGUCCGAUUAGCUAGUUGGUGGGGUAACGGCCCACCAAGGCGACGAUCGGUAGCCGAACUGAGAGGUUGAUCGGCCGCAUUGGGACUGAGACACGGCCCAG
rnacentral:rRNA from 1 species